UAAAGCCGGGCCUGGCAUCGGGGCUCCCACCAUCCUUAACCGGGACUCUAGAAAAAUCUCACAAGAUGUAUUUCUUUGCAUGGAUCCCAGGCCUGAGGACAACACUUCAAUUGUCUAGCAGAGGAAGGUCGCGGCCAGAAAGGUAGAACCCAGGAGCUGCUCGUCCUGUCUGUCUGCUGGGCUGCUGUAGGAGGAGGAAGUGUUUCCCAGUGCUCAGCACGUGAGGUCCACUGACUGAUUCUUUCCCCGUGACAAUGGGAACUUUCUAUCGAUGGCCUUUGCGUUCUGGAUUCAGGCCCCAAGGUCGUGCCUGGCGUGCAACUGACUGUUUAGUGGCUCUCUGUGUUCCUGACAACCUUGAGAUAGAACUUUUCAUUCUGGACAAAGCAAUCGCCAUUCUGCUUCCCCUGGAUGUGCCCUGUGGAUUGGUGUUCCCUGUGAUUCUC